rnacentral:lncRNA from 10 species
ACUGGAAUCAGCAACUCCCUGGAACUCGGGCCUCUGGCCCCGUCCCUCUUUUCUCCGGCAGGGACGCAGGAUGCCUUGGUGCACUCUAGAGACGGGGACCGGAGGGUGCAGCGCGCCUGGGUGGGGCGAAGGGCGCCGGUCUCCUCACGCCCUCUGACUUUAGGAUACCAGACAGUGUCUCUUCAACCCCACCCCAGGCGCAGGUUUCCAGAAGGCGGGGUGGGUGGGGCCCCCGAUUUCCAGAAGGCAUUUUAUUAAUGCUUUUACGAGUUAGAAGAGUUGGGAUAAUUUGCCAUCUGGAGUUUCUCUGCCUUGCUGAUCUGAGCUCAGACCUGCCAAUUUACCAGAGAUAAUUGAUAACACCCUGUAACAGCUGAGAGGAAAAUGGAAGAAACGGAGAUACUUUUAGUGAAGCAGAAUAAACCACUGAACAGUCUGUUUCAUCUUCAUAAAAACGCUGCUUUCAGUGCACUGGAUUUAUUUUACAACCCACUAAUGGAUUACCCUACAGUUUGAAAAACAUUGCGUUAGACCAGUUUGACUGUUGUCAAGAACCAAAAAAGAUGGAGUUUCACUCUUCC